GUCCUGGACACAAGGAACAUGAGUGACU
rnacentral:piRNA from 1 species